GGUAUCAUAACACACACCCGUUUCCCUAUGCUUCUUCAAACUCAUCACUUGAGUUCCACAUAAGAGUAAACAACUCCGACGUGCCGAAAAUCUCCUCUGGCGAAGGAGGAGGUUCAAUUACCACCAGAAUCACACCAAUCAAAAUGUCUCUCCAUCCUCUCUCAUAAUAUCUAGUUAAUUUCAUCUAAUUCUCAAUACCGAAUCCAAAUCGAACAAAAACGUAUGAACUCUAACCGAGAAAAAUGGAAAUUAAUCUAACACAACUAUAUGAGAGGAUCUCAAAUCUUAGGGGUUUGGCUCCUCCACCACCAAGACUACAUCGCGACAAGAGAAAUUAAGCGAGAAAGUGAAGUUUCCCCAACCUACGGGACUGGGACACGUCCCGGUGCAAUUGAAUUUGAAUAUGACGAAGCGUAAACAAGAUCAAGAAUAUAAGCUCUAGAUACUCAUGAGUAGAGUUUGAUGUUGUAAGUGGAAGUUAACUCUUGGAGUUACUUCGUUUAGUUUCAUCAUUGUUUAGAAGUCUUGCUCUGAUCUUGUAAUGUCAUGGUUGGGAACAUUUGUUUUCUUAUUAUGUUUUAUUGGAGUUUAAUUGCUUUAUUCGGUUUAUGAUGAAGUUGUUGAAAGUUGAACAUGACAACUCAAUAUUUUGAUAGCAAUUUAUAUAAUUUUGAAGUUGAGACUAAAUGUAUAAGUUAUGUUGUUUCAUUUAGUUGAAAUAAUAUUGAUACUACCGCA